UGCGGAUUAGUGUAAUAGUAACAUAACUGGCUCAUGACCAGUUGUUAUAGGUGCGAAUCCUAUGUCCGCAU
rfam:Zymoseptoria brevis strain Zb18110 contig4527, whole genome shotgun sequence.